rnacentral:rRNA from 1 species
UAGUGUCGGAGAGAAGUUGUUAAGCAAGCUGCCUGGGAAGUACGGUCGCAAGACUGAAACUUAAAGGAAUUGGCGGGGAGCACAGCAACGGGUGGAGCGCGCGGUUUAAUUGGAUUCAACGCCGGAAAACUCACCGGAGGCGACGGUUACAUGAAGGCCAGGCUGAUGACCUUGCUUGAUUUUCCGAGAGGUGGUGCAUGGCCGCCGUCAGUUCGUACCGUAAGGCGUUNUGUUAAGUCAGACAACGAACGAGACCCUCAUCUUUAAUUGCUACUGGUAAGUCCGCUUACUGGGCACAUUAGAGAAACCGCUGGCGAUAAGUCAGAGGAAGGCGAGGGCAACGGUAGGUCAGUAUGCCCUGAAUCCUCCGGGCUACACGCGCGCUACAAAGGCUAGGACAAUGGGUUUCAACACCGAGAGGUGAAGGUAAUCUCGAAACCUAGUCAUAGUUCGGAUUGAGGGUUGAAACUCACCCUCAUGAAGCUGGAAUCCGUAGUAAUCGCGGAUCAAAAUCCCGCGGUGAAUAUGCCCCUGCUCCUUGCACACACCGCCCGCCAAACCAUGCGAG